AACCCGCCUGCGNGAAGUCGGAAUCGCUAGUAAUCGCGGAUCAGCAUGCCGCGGUGAAUACGUUCCCGGGCCUUGUACACACCGCCCGUCACACCAUGAGAGUCGGGAACACCCGAAGUCCGUAGCCUAACUUUAACGAGGGGGCGCGGCCGAAGGUGGGUUCGAUGAUUGGGGUGAAGUCGUAACAAGGUAAC
rnacentral:rRNA from 1 species